CGCGUAGGCGGUCUGUUAAGUUCGGUGUGAAAGCCCCCGGCUCACCUGGGGAACUGCGCCGGAAACCGACAGACUCGAGUACCGGAGAGGAGGGUGGAAUUCCUGGUGUAGCGGUGAAAUGCGUAGAUAUCAGGAGGAACACCGGUGGCGAAGGCGGCCCUCUGGACGGAUACUGACGCUGAGGCGCGAAAGCGUGGGGAUCAAACAGGAUUAGAUACCCUGGUAGUCCACGCUGUAAACGAUGGGAGCUAGGUGUGGGAGGUAUUGACCCUUCCGUGCCGCCGCUAACGCAUUAAGCUCCCCGCCUGGGGAUUACGGCCGCAAGGUUAAA
rnacentral:rRNA from 1 species